CCUACGGGCGGCAGCAGUGAGGAAUAUUGGUCAAUGGCCGGAAGGCUGAACCAGCCAUGCCGCGUGAAGGUCAGUGCCCUAUGGGCGUUAAACUUCUUUUGUGCGGGAGCAAUAAUGGUCACGUGUGGCCAGACGAGAGUACCGUACGAAUAAGCAUCGGCUAACUCCGUGCCAGCAGCCGCGGUAAUACGGGGGAUGCAAGCGUUAUCCGGAUUUAUUGGGUUUAAAGGGUGCGUAGGCUGGGAGGUAAGUCAGCGGUGAAAUGCCCCCGCUCAACGGGGUGAAGUGCCAUUGAUACUGCCUGGCUGGAAUGCGGAUGCCGUGGGAGGAAUGUGUGGUGUAGCGGUGAAAUGCAUAGAUAUCACACAGAACACCGAUUGCGAAGGCAUCUCACGAAUCCGCGAUUGACGCUGAUGCACGAAAGCGUGGGUAUCAAACAGGAUUAGAUACCCCAGUAGUC
rnacentral:rRNA from 1 species